rnacentral:sRNA from 1 species
CCCGCUUUAGAUAAUAAAAAGCUUUUUCUACUACUGCCUUGUACCCUUUUAUUCUUCAGUUUUACCGAAGUUUUAAUAGAUAUACAUUUGCGUUACUAGUAAGUUAAAUCUAUUGCUAUCCGGUGAAUUUCACCAAUUACUUCAAAUAUAUAAGGUUACAAACAUGUCUGAUACAGUAAACGGCACAGUUAAAUGGUUCAACGAAGAUAAAGGUUUUGGUUUUCUUACUCAAGACGGUGGCGGUAAAGACGUAUUCGUACAUUUCCGUUCAAUCGCUUCUGACGGCUUCAAAACUCUUUCUGAAGGCCAAGCGGUUAGCUUCAGUGUAGAACAAGGUCAAAAAGGCCUUCAAGCUGCAAACGUUGUUGUUCUUUAAGUAGAACUUUAAAAUACAACGACAAAAGGCUAAGUUUCUACUUAGCCUUUUUUA